UUUCCCUUUAAUUUAAUUACCUUCUUCAUAUCGGAUCAAAUACCCGAACCAAAAAAAAAAAAUUAACCCUCUUCAAUCCUUGAAUAAAAUAUCCCCAAAACCUUAAUUCCUUUCUUAGUUCUCGUCAAAUUCAGCAUUAAUAGAGUGAAAUCAAGUAUGUAGCAUCUUAAGUUCUUCGUUCGAAAGUAUAAAUUUUACUCCAAUUCAAAACAAGUAUAGUGUAAGGUUCUUUUUUAUUUCUUUGGUGUUAUAACUUGUAGAUUCAAGGUCAGUUGGAAGGCUAAGUUUGCAUUUCGUCCAAAGGUAUAAGUGGGUUUAUAUUCAUCACUGUAAGAUUGUAUCAUGGUGGGAAUUUAAUUUUUGGAGAUGAUAAUGAACCAAGAUAUUUGGGUGGGGUAAUGAGUGAAUAUGUUGAUGUUGAUGUGGAUACACUUUCCUAUUUUGAGCUGAAGGACUAAAGAACUAGGGUACAACUCAACUUGCAAAUUUAGUAUUCGGCCACCUAAUAGUGGCAUUUUAGGAUGACAAUGAUAGGGUUCUUUCAAGAAUUGAUGGGGUUUUGCAAAGUGGACAGACUUUGAAAGUAUAUGUGCACAUGCCUGAGUGAGAAUCUAAUUCUACUUUUAAUAAAGGGUUAGGGACCAUUAAAACAAGUGCUAGUCAAAAUAUUGAAAUUGGUGAGUUUGCUUUAAACGUUGUAGCUUCAACUCCAAAUAUUGUCCUAAAUACUACUCCUCUGUUAGAAGUAGUACCUCCAAAUACUCAAGAUCCAUUAGAUCCAGCAGCUGCUCCAUCAGAUUCUGAAAACAGUGAAUUUUCAGUAAAGGGACCUGAUGAAUCAACUGAUGAUAGUCCAGAUUCUGAAAAUGGUGACUUACUUGGAGAGGAUGAUUAUUUCAGUGAUGUAUAUGAGGAGUACAUAGAUCUUAGGCAUGAGAGAAGGGAAGCACCGAAGAGGAAAAGAACGGAGAGAAUUCCUGCACUGAAGACGUACCAUGUGGUGAAGCUGGACCAGAUUUGGGCUUUGAUGAGACUGAAACUGGUAAAAAAAGUUUAGAAGGAAGGCUAGGGGGUGAUGGACCAUAUUACCCAAUUUCUGAUGCUCGUAACUUUGAAACUGAUGAUGAUGAAGAUUGGUUUGAAGAAGGGGAACAGAGGAGGGUAAAAUUAUCAAAAUCAAGAAGGAAAAAUACUGCUGCAAAGGGUGUGAAAUUUGAUCCAACUUGUAAAAAAAUUGUGUGGCAGUUGGGAAUGAGUUUAGAGAUGCAGUUACUAGGUAUGCACUUCAGAGGAGUGUUCAAAUUGAGAAGUAUGUCAAUGCUCCUACUAGAGUUAGGGUGAGGUAUUGCAAGUGGCUUUUGUUUGCUAGCCUUGACAGUGUAAGUAAUAAUUUUGUUAUUAGGACUUACAUUCCAGUACAUAACUGUGAGAAGUCAUUCAGAAAUUACUUGUGCAAUUCUAAGUUUUUGGCUAGUGUCUUAAAAAUAGAAUAAUUGAACAACCAAACAUAAGAGUGUUUAAGUUAAAAGAGUUAAUUAGGAAGAAGUUCAAAGUCUAUGUUGGUAAGACCACAGCUCGGAGACCAAGAGCAAGAGUGCUUAAAGAGAUUACGGGUGAACAUAUUCUUGAGUUUGGGAGAAUUCGUAAUUAUAGGGAUGAGUUGUUAAGGACAAACUCUGGGAGUACUUGUGUUGUGAAUCUUGGUGAAGCUAAUGAUCUUGGUAGGCCAGUUUUUGAAGAUUUUUACAUCUGUUUUGAUGCACUCAAGAAGGCAUUCAUGGCUGUUUGGAAAUGCAUAGGAUUAGAUGGUUGUUUUUUGAAUGUAAUAAGUAGGGGCAAUUACUAUGUGUCGUGGCUAAGGAUGGGAAUAACCAAAUACUUCCACUUGCUUGGGCAGUAGUGGAAUAUGAGAACAAAAAUACUUGAACCUGGUUUUUGACUUUGCUGAAGAAGGACUUGGGAUUAGGAGAUGGCAUAAAAUAGACUGUAAUUUCAGACAUGCAAAAGCAAAUUAAAGAUUUCUUCGAAGUGAAGUAAGAUGGAAGAAGAAUAGUCCAUGGCAUAUGAGAUUACGAGGCUAUAAAUGAUCUUAUGUAGAUUGCAAGACAAGAAGUAAGUUGGAAAGUGAAAAGUAAGCUUCCAGGUAUGUAAGGCAAACCAGCUUCCAGGUAUGUAAGGCAAACAUUUCUUCCUUUGGCAUGAUUCUUGUUGUUAUUCGUUCUAUAUGUACUCCAUAUGAUUCCAUUCUUAGACGAGUAAGGUCUAAAUGUUUCUUGUGAUGGCUUAUUGAUAUACUCUUAUUCUGUUCUGAAGGGAACACCCAUAAGGUGCCAAGUUGAGUUGUGUAUAUGAUUUUACUAAUGAUUUCGAGGAAAUGAAUUUUAUACUAAAGGAAACAUAAAGUUUGACUUUCAAAACCACUCUGAAGGGGGUGCGAGAUUUUACUACUUCAUUUCAUUUACGAUUUAUGUUUACAUUCCAUAGUAUCAUCCCUUUGUAUUGAUAUGAUCAUUUAUUCUUUAGAUAGGGCAAUAAUAUGAAAUUGAGUAGAAUAUAAGUAGUAAGAAUUUCAUAACAAUACUACCCUCAAACCUGGAAGUAUGUCCUCCUAAGUCUAGUGAGAUACAAAUUUGAUAACUUCUUAUGAGAGACUAAGGCUAAUAAUUAGAUUGUGAUGAAUUGAUUAGUGACUUAUGCUUUGAAUUGAAAUUGAUAUUUGUGGAUUGGUUUUGUGUUUAUAUGAUGGUGAUAUUAAGCCGGAAGCGGCUGCCCGAAGGGGCUACCCUAGCUAAGCCAGAAGCGGCUGCCCGAAGGGGCCAUCAUUAUUAUGCCGGAAGCUGCCGUUUGAAGGGACUAUUGUGAUACUAGCUGGAAGCAGCUGUCCGAAGGGACCAUUCUGUUAACAUGUCGGAAGCGGCAUGUGUGUUGGAUUUCAUUAUUUACUUAAAGAUUGUCUUGAGACUUCGUGUGCACAUUUAUGUUUCUUCCAGCGAAGGCCGCAGGUAUUGAGUUAGAUUGUGAUUUCUUCUCUCCUAAGUCAAAUUAUGAUUAUGACUUGUUACCACCUUACAUACUCAGUACAUUGUCCGUACUGACGUCCUUUUGCCUAGGGACGCUGCGUUCAUGCCCAUAGCCCCAGAUUGUUUGGCAGGUUAAGUGUAUAGCUAAGAUGCUUAGACGUCAGCUGGGAUUGGCAAGUGCCACCUCAUUCUGGAGCUGUGCUGAGUCAUGUAUAGAUAUGUAUGAUUAUGGGUAUGUCAGGGCCCUAUCCUGACUCAGAAUGUUCAGUUUACUUCUUAGAGACUUAUGCAGAUAGUGUUUUGUGGUAUAAUUGUCGAGAUGUCGACAAAGUGAUAUCAGUUGAGUCAUUUGUGGAUUUUAAAAGGGUAUGUAUUUUAGAUGAUUUCAAUUGGUUUAAAGUACUUAUUUGAUUGAAAGUUUUCAUAAUCGUUAUAAAGAUAAUGAUUUUUAUUUGGAAAAGUUUUAUGUUCUUAAAAGUUUUUGAAAUGACAGGUUUUGAUAGAGCAAAUGUAUGAGGGUUCGCUCGACUCUAACGAGAGUCAGGUGCCGGUCAUGCCCUAUCAGGAUUGGAGUGUGACACAGGCAGACCCAAAACAAAUAGAAGAAAAGAGACAAUGGAAACUAAGAAGUCUGGUAAACUGCCUAAAACUGGUAUGGCCAUGACAUGUAGUUUCUGCCAUAUUAGGGGUCACAACAAAAGAGGGUGUCCUUUGAAGAGAAGUGAUGGAAUAAAUAUUGGUUCAUCAGCAAGUAUUGCACAUGAUCAAUCUGCUGCAAAUCCAUUAAGUUCAACAAAGGGAAGGGGCAGACCAAAGAAAACAACAACUACUGAAGCUGAGCCUGCUAUAAAGAAGAGGAGAGGCAGACCUAAAAAAACAGGUGAUCCACCUAGCACUGCAAAUAAACCAAUUGUUGCUGCUGAAUUUCCAUCAAGUUUAACACAUUAUGAUCUUGGCAGCUGGUUUGAAUGUUCUGCUCCUAACCCAACAAUAAAUGUGGCUGCUGAAAUGUCUUCAAGAGCUGUUGGUUGUUAAAAAAGAGCUAGAGGUGCUAGAGGAAGGGGAAGGGGUGUGGGAAGUUGGAUUACAUGUUCUCAAACAUCAGAUGGACCUACUACAUCUGUUGUACCUAAUUCAGCUGAUGUAAGUAGAGGAAAGGGAAAUGGAAAGGAAAUAGGAAGUACAACUCCAUAUAAAAGGCCAAGAGUGAAAGGAAUGAGUGUGUUUCAAGCUGAGAAUGGCUUCACAACUUUUAAU